GAAUCGUGGCAGUGGCAGCCUCAGCAGCCCAGAGCCAGCCUGGUAGCGCAGUUGGCUCUGGCUGGCUUCAGGAGCUGCUCGCUGCCGUGGCGCCCGCCAUUUUUCCUGAAGCCAGCCAGAGCCAACUGCGAUACCAGGCUGGCUCCGGGCUGCUGACUGCUGCUGCUGCCGUCGCCACUGCCAAAG